GACGAACGCUGGCGGCGUGCCUAACGCAUGCAAGUCGAGCGGAGUCAGUAAGAGGAAGUUUUCGGAUGGAAUCUUGUUGAUUUAGCGGCGGACGGGUGAGUAACGCGUGAGCGACCAACCUUGCACAGGGGGAUAACGGACCGAAAGGUUCACUAAUACCGCAUGAGACCACGGUGUUGCAUGACACAGGGGUCAAAGGAGCAGUCCGGUGCAAGACGGGCUCGCGUCCGAUUAGGUAGUUGGAGGGGUAACGGCCCACCAAGCCUAUGAUCGGUAGCCGACCUGAGAGGGUGAUCGGCCACAUUGGAACUGAGAUACGGUCCAAACUCCUACGGGAGGCAGCAGUGGGGAAUAUUGGGCAAUGGGGGAAACCCUGACCCAGCAACGCCGCGUGAAGGAAGAAGGUUUUCGGAUUGUAAACUUCUGUCCUUGGUGAAGAGAAGAAGACGGUAGCCAAGGAGGAAGCCCCGGCUAACUACGUGCCAGCAGCCGCAGUAAAAC
rnacentral:rRNA from 1 species